AUACGUAGGGUGCAAGCGUUAAUCGGAAUUACUGGGCGUAAAGCGUGCGCAGGCGGUUUUGUAAGACAGAGGUGAAAUCCCCGGGCUCAACCUGGGAACUGCCUUUGUGACUGCAAGGCUAGAGUACGGCAGAGGGGGAUGGAAUUCCGCGUGUAGCAGUGAAAUGCGUAGAUAUGCGGAGGAACACCGAUGGCGAAGGCAAUCCCCUGGGCCUGUACUGACGCUCAUGCACGAAAGCGUGGGGAGCAAACAGGAUUGGAUACCCUGGUAGUCCACGCCCUAAACGAUGUCAACUGGUUGUUGGGUCUUCAUUGACUCAGUAACGAAGCUAACGCGUGAAGUUGACCGCCUGGGGAGUACGGCCGCAAGGUUAAAACUCAAAUGAAUUGGCGGGG
rnacentral:rRNA from 1 species